GGAAACUGGAAAUGAAGCAUAAACGCCAUUUCUCGUUACAGGGUUGGCCUGCUGCGGCUGAGGGCAACACUGGUGCACCUGAAGGGAUGGACAUAAAAACAUCUGUCUGCUAAGUGACUGAACUCAUAUCCUAGAGAUGUUGUUCUUGAGCUGAAAGACCUGCCAAGCCUGGGGAGUGUAUUUUACAGCCUUGUACACAACAGGACUCACAAGCAUUACCCCAUCAAACUUAUAAUUGGGUAAAAAAGAGCAGGAAGAGAAGAAAACGGGAAAGGGAAUAAAAAGGAGGAGUAGGGAAGAAUAUGUCCUCUUGAGGAGGGGGAGUGAGAAAGCAGGUUGGGUAGCAGUCAGGCUGCUGGCGGAAGCUAAUGCACCACACAUAGCAAAGCAGAGUCCCAGGCAACCUGCAGGUAUUCCUUAUAUCUUUAUGUGAUGAAGCUACAUGCUGACAGGGGUCUGUCUGAUGAAGCAAAGUCAGCACAGAGGUUCCCAGACUGCGUUAGUCAGGACUCACGAUCUCUGUCCUCUCUCCCUUCCCUACUGCUGAGUCUUCAUCCCAGCCUCCCCUUCCUCUCAUACCUGUCUCAGGCCACCAUCCCCCCAGCCCUUAUGGUUUCUGUCACCUUAUUGACAUCUCUCUAUCCAGACCUUGUUCCUCAGAUCUGCAUCUUCAUUCUCUCUUGGGUGCCAUUGGCUUAGGGCUGGAAGGGAGGACAAAGAACAUAGUAUAAUUUACCCUCCCAUACAACCUUUCCUGCUCUUUCUUGCCUCUCUGAAGCUCUAAUUCUGGGGCUUACAGCAUGGCUAAUGCUCUUUUGUACUUUAAGGUGGAGCCAGAUCACAGACAGCACCCAUGGGCAUGCAACUUUCCCAUCUCCAGUCCUCCUGCAGCAUGAUGUUGUCCCCAAAGCACUGGAAAAGGUCUCCACCAGCCACAGCAAUGUAAGCUCUUGUUAAGGGAGACAUACCUUGCUAGUGGGAACCAGGGAUCUGACUUGAACUCCAGCUUAAUGCCAGAUUUUGUCCAGCAUAUCCCAUUGAGGCCCAGGAACACAUGCUUUGCAGCAGAAGAUGUUCCAGGAAAACAACAAUUUUGAUGAAACACAGAGAAAGAUAGCCUACCACUUUCUUUAAUAAUAUAUAAUAAUAGCAAUUAAUCUCACUGUUUAAAGGUGUGUUCUUUAUUUAAAUAUGUCCGGCUUUAUUUCCUCUUUUUUGUCCUUGAUAUUAUAUUUUCAUGUCUGACCACCUCUCAUACUCAUCAGUAGGCUGACACCAUUCUUUACCAGGUUACCAUUCUUAAUGAUGAAAUAAACGAUUUGCCAUAAACAAAAUAAACAAAAGACAGACAUUUAUGUAAUGUUAGUACUGCACUUAGAUCAAGAUCCUGAAAAUUCCUGUAUCGCUUCAAAUGCCAUCAUGAAAAUUCCUUAAUUCCAAUAAAAAUAUUUCAUUUUUGCCCAGAUAAAA